UUUAUGGAGUUUUUUUGGGGACCAUUAAUUUCGUUUCACUCUUUCUCUUUCACUUAUUUAAGCUUAACUUUGACAAAUACGUACCCUCUCCCCACCUAAUACAUCAAAAUUUUCUAGAUAAUUUUUUAUUUUUUUUUCGACUAGCAAGUAGCAACAUUUAUGUUGUUUACAUGUCUUUAGAAUCCAGUCAAUUAAGACGGUGGUUUAAAUGUGUAAAUGCCCACAAGUAGAUUUAUGUAAAUGUUAAAAUGUUCCAAGUUUAGUAAAAUCCAUCGUCAAAAAUAUAUUAUUAAUUCACGCAGAUUUUG
rnacentral:lncRNA from 1 species